rnacentral:misc_RNA from 1 species
GAAAUGCGAUAAGUAAUGUGAAUUGCAGAAUUCAGUGAAUCAUCGAAUCUUUGAACGCACAUUGCGCCCCCUGGUAUUCCGGGGGGCAUGCCUGUUCGAGCGUCAUUUCACCACUCAAGCCUCGCUUGGUAUUGGGCGACGCGGUCCGCCGCGCGCCUCAAAUCGACCGGCUGGGUCUUUCGUCCCCUCAGCGUUGUGGAAACUAUUCGCUAAAGGGUGCCGCUGGAGGCCACGCCGUAAAACAACCCCAUUUCUAAGGUUGACCUCGGAUCAGGUAGGGAUACCCGCUGAACUUAAGC